AACGAACGCUGGCGGCGUGCUUAACACAUGCAAGUCGAACGGGAAGGCCCUGCUUUUGUGGGGUGCUCGGGUGGCGACCGGGUGAGUAACACGUGAGUAACCUACACUUGACUUUGGGGUAACUUAAGGCAAGUGGGUCUAAUACCGGCUAGGAGCUCCUGCUGCAUGGUGGGCGUUGGUUAGUUUCGGCGGUUGGGGAUGGACUAGCGGCUUAUCGGCUUGUUGGUGGGGUAGUGGCUUACCAAGGCUUGGACGGGUAGCCGGCCUAGGAGGGUGACCGGCCACAUCAGGACGGGGAUGAGGCACAGACUCCAACGGUAGGCAGCGGUGGGGAAGAGUACACAAGGGGCGGAAGCAUGAUGUAGCACCGCCGCGUGCGGUAUGACGUCAAGCGGGUUGUAAAGCGCUUCCGCCUUAGACGAAGCGUUAGUGACGGUAACGGGUAAAGAAGCUCCGGCUAACUACGUG
rnacentral:rRNA from 1 species